CCGAGUGGGUUAGAGUCCCCUACGCGAAAACACGUUUUGGAUUUUGUGUCUGGGUUUCCCCAGUAGCAGCGAGCUUGUGGAAUUUGCUGGUAAUCUGCGGGACCACCCGGGAAGCCUAAAUACUUCCUGAAGACCCAUAGCGGA
rnacentral:rRNA from 1 species